rnacentral:rRNA from 1 species
GAUGAACGCUGGCGGCGUGCUUAACACAUGCAAGUCGAACGAUGAAGCCCAGCUUGCUGGGUGGAUUAGUGGCGAACGGGUGAGUAACACGUGAGUAACCUGCCCUUAACUCUGGGAUAAGCCUGGGAAACUGGGUCUAAUACCGGAUAGGAGCGUCCACCGCAUGGUGGGUGUUGGAAAGAUUUAUCGGUUUUGGAUGGACACGCGGCCUAUCAGCUUGUUGGUGAGGUAAUGGCUCACCAAGGCGACGACGGGUAGCCGGCCUGAGAGGGUGACCGGCCACACGGGGACUGAGACACGGCCCAGACUCCUACGGGAGGCAGCAGUGGGGAAUAUUGCACAAUGGGCGCAAGCCUGAUGCAGCGACGCCGCGUGAGGGAUGACGGCCUUCGGGUUGUAAACCUCUUUCAGUAGGGAAGAAGCGAAAGUGACGGUACCUGCAGAAGAAGCACCGGCUAACUACGUG